rnacentral:rRNA from 1 species
AUGCAAGAAGAAAGGCUGCCGUUUUGUGCGACCUGGACGAGCAAAGUUGGAUCUCUCGUACAACCAACUGCACGGGGAAAUACCACAAAAUGGAGUAUUUGUUAUUUGGGUGACUUUGGCAUUGCAAACCUCGUGUGUAAUUCAAACUCAACAUCAGUUGGACAUUCCAGUUCAGCCUCAACUUCAGAUAGCCCAAUCGGAUUGAAGGGAACUAUAGGAUAUAUUGCCCCAGAGUAUGCUCAAACUGGCCAAGCAUCAACCAAUGGGGAUGUUUUCAGUUUUGGAAUAGUUCUUCUAGAGAUGUUGAUAGGUAAAAGACCAACAGACCCUAUGUUUGACAACGAACUCAACAUUGUCAAUUUCGCAGAGAGGAACUCCCCAGAUCAGAUAUUAGAAAUCAUUGAUGCUCACCUACAAGAAGAAUGCAAGGGAUUCAUUGGUGCAUCAGCGGAAGCAGGAGACUUGGUAUAUCAGUGCUUGGUGUCCCUUGUGCAAGUAGCUCUAUCUUGCACGCGUCUGUCUCCAAGAGAGCGAAUGAACAUGAGAGAAGUAGCCAUUGCACGCAGCCAGAACAUCAUAUAUAUGUUGGAGCAACCAAGCGAGAGCAAGUUAUGCCACGCUAGAGUGAUUUGGUAA